rnacentral:lncRNA from 1 species
UGCCUGCUCACAUUUCAGUCAUUGAGGAAAAGAGAAUUGAAUUCUGUUUGAGGUAACUUUAGCCAAAGAGUAUACUAUAAUCCUCAAAUACCCUCUCCGGACUUCUAGUCCUUAUGUGUAAAAUGAAGAGGCUGGGCUCCACGAUGCCCGCGGAGCUCCGGAUCUAUGAUCCUGAGGGGAAAGGCUGGGAAUUUGCCGAUUAGCCCAUCCUAAAACUUCCAAAUGGAAUUUCUACAGAAAUUUCGCAAUAACUUUAAAGACUAACCCAUUAUGGAAAGGCCCCUUUCCUGGGCUUGCACCUGCAAUUUUCUGUCGCUAGAGGUCUCUGGAACUUAUCAGAAAGAUUGAGCUAUUUAGGCUUUUUAUGCUGGGAGUUCACCUACAGGCUCAGCUGUACUGUUACAUAAUCUUCUUACGUAAUUCAGCUCUAGUUAAUUAUCUCGCGGACAAAAUGGGCUGCUGGGGAACCUUUGGGUCAGCUGUGGUGCAGAGGUCUUGGGGAGGGCAGAAUGGAGAGAAGAGGGCAUGCCAGAGGGGAACACGAGGAAAAGACAGAAAAGUAGGGAAUUCCCUUUACCUCCGGAAGCGGUCAGAUGGAGCAGAGCCGUGGUGCCAUUCAACCAAAGGAAGGAAAAAUUUUCUUGAUACCAUGCUUCUUAGGAGAGAAGCUGAUCACUACUAGCAUCAUUCUGUAUCUGAACGCCUAAAGAACACCAGGCCCAGGAUGGCCAGGAGUUUGGGACCUUGUUAAAUUACUCAGAAGAUUUUAGGUCGAAGGAGAAUGUGAAAUAUUCAACAGUUCUCCAAAAUUGUCUCUACUUUUGGGCCAUAAUGUAAUAAAUAUAAUGGACCAUUUUAGAUGUUUUAUGUA